rnacentral:rRNA from 1 species
AGAGUUUGAUCCUGGCUCAGGAUGAACGCUGGCGGUAUGCCUAACACAUGCAAGUCGAACGAAGUACUUCGGUACUAAGUGGCGGACGGGUGAGUAACGCGUGAGAAUCUGCCAUAGGGAUGGGGAUAACAGGGAGAAAUCGCUGCUAAAACCCAAUAUGCAUAUUAUAUAUGUGAAAGUAUUUAUAGCCCGAUGAGGAGCUCGCGUCCGAUUAGUUAGUUGGUGGGGUAAAAGCCUACCAAGGCAGCGAUCGGUAGCUGGUCUGAGAGGAUGAGCAGCCACACUGGGACUGAGACACGGCCCAGACUCCUACGGGAGGCAGCAGUGGGGAAUUUUCCGCAAUGGGCGAAAGCCUGACGGAGCAAUACCGCGUGAGGGAGGAAGGCUUUUGGGUUGUAAACCUCUUUUGUUAAGGAAGAAGAAAGUGACGGUACUUAACGAAUCAGCAUCGGCUAACUCCGUGCCAGCAGCCGCGGUAAUACGGAGGAUGCAAGCGUUAUCCGGAAUCAUUGGGCGUAAAGCGUCCGCAGGUGGUUAAUCAAGUCUGCUGUUAAAGACAGAAGCUCAACUUCUGGUCGGCGGUGGAAACUGGUAAACUAGAGUACGGUAGGGGUCGAGGGAAUUCCCAGUGUAGCGGUGAAAUGCGUAGAUAUUGGGAAGAACACCAGUGGCGAAGGCGCUCGACUGGGCCGUAACUGACACUCAGGGACGAAAGCUAGGGUAGCGAAAGGGAUUAGAUACCCCUGUAGUCCUAGCUGUAAACGAUGAACACUAGGCGUUGCUUGUAUCGACCCGAGCAGUGCCGUAGCCAACGCGUUAAGUGUUCCGCCUGGGGAGUACGCAGGCAACUGUGAAACUCAAAGGAAUUGACGGGGGCCCGCACAAGCGGUGGAGUAUGUGGUUUAAUUCGAUGCAACGCGAAGAACCUUACCAGGACUUGACAUCCCAAGAACCAAGCCUAAUAGCUUGGGUGCCUUAGGGAACUUGGAGACAGGUGGUGCAUGGCUGUCGUCAGCUCGUGCCGUGAGAUGUUGGGUUAAGUCCCGCAACGAGCGCAACCCUCGUUCUUAGUUGCCAGCAUUAAGUUGGGCACUUUAGGAAGACUGCCGGUGACAAACCGGAGGAAGGUGGGGAUGACGUCAAGUCAGCAUGCCCCUUACGUUCUGGGCUACACACGUACUACAAUGGUUGGGACAAAGGGCAGCGAACUUGUAAAAGUAAGCGAAUCUCAGCAAACCCAGCCUCAGUUCAGAUUGCAGGCUGCAACUCGCCUGCAUGAAGGAGGAAUCGCUAGUAAUCGCAGGUCAGCAUACUGCGGUGAAUUCGUUCCCGGGCCUUGUACACACCGCCCGUCACACCAUGGAAGUUGGCCACGCCCGAAGUCGUUACCCUAACCGGUUUACUGGAGGGGGAUGCCGAAGGCAGGGCUGGUGACUAGGGUGAAGUCGUAACAAGGUA